GGGUUGUGAGGUUAAGCGACUAAGCGUACACGGUGGAUGCCCUGGCAGUCAGAGGCGAUGAAGGACGUGCUAAUCUGCGAUAAGCGUCGGUAAGGUGAUAUGAACCGUUAUAACCGGCGAUUUCCGAAUGGGGAAACCCAGUGUGUUUCGACACACUAUCAUUAACUGAAUCCAUAGGUUAAUGAGGCGAACCGGGGGAACUGAAACAUCUAAGUACCCCGAGGAAAAGAAAUCAACCGAGAUUCCCCCAGUAGCGGCGAGCGAACGGGGAGCAGCCCAGAGCCUGAAUCAGUGUGUGUGUUAGUGGAAGCGUCUGGAAAGGCGCGCGAUACAGGGUGACAGCCCCGUACACAAAAAUGCACAUAUUGUGAGCUCGAUGAGUAGGGCGGGACACGUGGUAUCCUGUCUGAAUAUGGGGGGACCAUCCUCCAAGGCUAAAUACUCCUGACUGACCGAUAGUGAACCAGUACCGUGAGGGAAAGGCGAAAAGAACCCCGGCGAGGGGAGUGAAAAAGAACCUGAAACCGUGUACGUACAAGCAGUGGGAGCCUCUUUUAUGGGGUGACUGCGUACCUUUUGUAUAAUGGGUCAGCGACUUAUAUUCUGUAGCAAGGUUAACCGAAUAGGGGAGCCGAAGGGAAACCGAGUCUUAACUGGGCGUUAAGUUGCAGGGUAUAGACCCGAAACCCGGUGAUCUAGCCAUGGGCAGGUUGAAGGUUGGGUAACACUAACUGGAGGACCGAACCGACUAAUGUUGAAAAAUUAGCGGAUGACUUGUGGCUGGGGGUGAAAGGCCAAUCAAACCGGGAGAUAGCUGGUUCUCCCCGAAAGCUAUUUAGGUAGCGCCUCGUGAAUUCAUCUCCGGGGGUAGAGCACUGUUUCGGCAAGGGGGUCAUCCCGACUUACCAACCCGAUGCAAACUGCGAAUACCGGAGAAUGUUAUCACGGGAGACACACGGCGGGUGCUAACGUCCGUCGUGAAGAGGGAAACAACCCAGACCGCCAGCUAAGGUCCCAAAGUCAUGGUUAAGUGGGAAACGAUGUGGGAAGGCCCAGACAGCCAGGAUGUUGGCUUAGAAGCAGCCAUCAUUUAAAGAAAGCGUAAUAGCUCACUGGUCGAGUCGGCCUGCGCGGAAGAUGUAACGGGGCUAAACCAUGCACCGAAGCUGCGGCAGCGACACUAUGUGUUGUUGGGUAGGGGAGCGUUCUGUAAGCCUGUGAAGGUGUACUGUGAGGUAUGCUGGAGGUAUCAGAAGUGCGAAUGCUGACAUAAGUAACGAUAAAGCGGGUGAAAAGCCCGCUCGCCGGAAGACCAAGGGUUCCUGUCCAACGUUAAUCGGGGCAGGGUGAGUCGACCCCUAAGGCGAGGCCGAAAGGCGUAGUCGAUGGGAAACAGGUUAAUAUUCCUGUACUUGGUGUUACUGCGAAGGGGGGACGGAGAAGGCUAUGUUGGCCGGGCGACGGUUGUCCCGGUUUAAGCGUGUAGGCUGGUUUUCCAGGCAAAUCCGGAAAAUCAAGGCUGAGGCGUGAUGACGAGGCACUACGGUGCUGAAGCAACAAAUGCCCUGCUUCCAGGAAAAGCCUCUAAGCAUCAGGUAACAUCAAAUCGUACCCCAAACCGACACAGGUGGUCAGGUAGAGAAUACCAAGGCGCUUGAGAGAACUCGGGUGAAGGAACUAGGCAAAAUGGUGCCGUAACUUCGGGAGAAGGCACGCUGAUAUGUAGGUGAAGUCCCUCGCGGAUGGAGCUGAAAUCAGUCGAAGAUACCAGCUGGCUGCAACUGUUUAUUAAAAACACAGCACUGUGCAAACACGAAAGUGGACGUAUACGGUGUGACGCCUGCCCGGUGCCGGAAGGUUAAUUGAUGGGGUCAGCGCAAGCGAAGCUCUUGAUCGAAGCCCCGGUAAACGGCGGCCGUAACUAUAACGGUCCUAAGGUAGCGAAAUUCCUUGUCGGGUAAGUUCCGACCUGCACGAAUGGCGUAAUGAUGGCCAGGCUGUCUCCACCCGAGACUCAGUGAAAUUGAACUCGCUGUGAAGAUGCAGUGUACCCGCGGCAAGACGGAAAGACCCCGUGAACCUUUACUAUAGCUUGACACUGAACAUUGAGCCUUGAUGUGUAGGAUAGGUGGGAGGCUUAGAAGUGUGGACGCCAGUCUGCAUGGAGCCGACCUUGAAAUACCACCCUUUAAUGUUUGAUGUUCUAACGUGGACCCGUGAUCCGGGUUGCGGACAGUGUCUGGUGGGUAGUUUGACUGGGGCGGUCUCCUCCUAAAGAGUAACGGAGGAGCACGAAGGUUGGCUAAUCCUGGUCGGACAUCAGGAGGUUAGUGCAAUGGCAUAAGCCAGCUUGACUGCGAGCGUGACGGCGCGAGCAGGUGCGAAAGCAGGUCAUAGUGAUCCGGUGGUUCUGAAUGGAAGGGCCAUCGCUCAACGGAUAAAAGGUACUCCGGGGAUAACAGGCUGAUACCGCCCAAGAGUUCAUAUCGACGGCGGUGUUUGGCACCUCGAUGUCGGCUCAUCACAUCCUGGGGCUGAAGUAGGUCCCAAGGGUAUGGCUGUUCGCCAUUUAAAGUGGUACGCGAGCUGGGUUUAGAACGUCGUGAGACAGUUCGGUCCCUAUCUGCCGUGGGCGCUGGAGAACUGAGGGGGGCUGCUCCUAGUACGAGAGGACCGGAGUGGACGCAUCACUGGUGUUCGGGUUGUCAUGCCAAUGGCACUGCCCGGUAGCUAAAUGCGGAAGAGAUAAGUGCUGAAAGCAUCUAAGCACGAAACUUGCCCCGAGAUGAGUUCUCCCUGACCCUUUAAGGGUCCUGAAGGAACGUUGAAGACGACGACGUUGAUAGGCCGGGUGUGUAAGCGCAGCGAUGCGUUGAGCUAACCGGUACUAAUGAACCGUGAGGCUUAACCUUACAACGCCGAAG
rnacentral:rRNA from 1 species